CAGACCUGCAGAAGUGGGUCAGGACAGGACUGAGCAUGCUCGGGGCAGUGCCAGGCUGCCGCACGCGGGUGCAUCUCGUUGCCCAAGGUUGAUGGAGCUGCGCUCGCUCAUCACGACAUCGAAGGUAAAACUCCAGAUGAUGGAGGCCCCGUCUCAUGGUCUUGCAGCUUGUGCAUGAGGAUCUUAUCCUUCCUAUAGCCUGGUGUUCCAUGGGGGCCCGUGUAGCUGGACCUCCACAUGCUGACUUACUCAGGGGUGAGGAUACAGCCAGAAGGCAGCCUCCUGCAAGCCAGGAAGAGAGCUCUCACCAGAACCCAGCCAUGCUGGCACCCUGAUCUUUGACUUCCCAGCCUAUAGAACUAAACCCAAGAAGACAUUAAUUAAUGUUGUAACUUACAAAAUGAACACAUGCACCAAAAAAUAGAAUUGAUAUCUAGUGUUACUCUGAAGAAAAUAUUGUACUCACCACAUCCAUCUCUUCAGGAGAAGCCAGCGAGUAGGACACUCUAAAGUAAGGGCAAGGAGCUGAACUAUCAAUGAAGAAAACAUUUCCAGGAGUUACUAAUACCUAAGAGAGUUUAUGGAAAAAAGUGAAUUACCAUUAAAGAAAAACUGAAAAAAAAAAGGUUGAAGAGCAAGAAGAUGGAAGGAACCAGGGUCUCUGAAUGACUGCUUGGAGUAGAGUUGCCUGCAGAUCACAUCUUUGAAAAUUUUAUUUCCUGUGACUACUGGAGAUCAAUAGAGAGAAAAGGUCAAUAUUCAUAUUCAUAAUUAAACUGGCAUUUUAAGACAAGUGGAAUACAAGCAUCUUAAAUGAAAAGAAUUGUUUGGACUAGAAGAUACUGAGGUUUAAAGCGGGAACCAAAUCCAAGGAUAUAUUCUCUGCAGUCUUGAGAGCAAAUAAAGAUAGCAUUUGACUUUGAGGAAUCAGGCAUUGGGAGUCUGUACCACUACUAUUGUCUAUUAGGAAACAGUGAUCAUGAAAAGUGGUGUAUAUAGUGAGGAGGAAGCUAAAAACCCAUUAUUCUGCAGGUAAGAUCCAGGACCUAAAUGACAGGGAUGGCAAAUAGGUGGCAUGCUGCUAGUAACACCUUUUCCUAUGUCCAUAAUGGACAUCACUAAUUGAGCCCUCUUUCUCUUUCAGCUUGAACACAGAUUCCAAAUCCUUCUCAGACAUCAUUCCAGUCAGCCACUACCAAGAGACUGAAGUUGACACCCAAGAGGAAACCCAGUUCAUCUUGAACCAAGAAGCCUUUAAUAAUUUACAGACACUCCAUAAAUUGUCCUUUAUCAUUGGAAGAAGACCAGCUAAGGAAAGUCUUAAGGUAUGUGUUCCAGCUUGCUUUUAAGAAAUUAAAGGCAUCUGCACUGAGGCCAAAUAGCUGCCUGCAACUAUUAGGGGAACACAAUUAUUAGACAAUUGCCCUGGGACUUAAAAUUGCUGCUUCCUGGAUCAUCUGUUUCCUCCUCUCUACUAAGCUGCUUCUUUACCUAGCUGUCUCAUUUCUUCCAGUCUCAGCUCCAAUGGUACUUCCUUCUAGAAGCUUUCUCUGACUAGCCCAGUAGUUUAAGAUCUACAAGCAGUUACUGAGGAGUGUUACAUAUUUAAUAUCCCUGUUGCUCUCAAUUAUUCUUUGAAAACUCUUCCCCAAACCUUCCUACCUGUUGUAUAUGCAGUUAAAAGAGACACAAGUCACUUUGUCACUUUAUCAAUGGGCCUUAGAAUAUUGCUUAUGAAAAUGAACUAACAAAAUGAUCUGUUGA